ACCCAGAGUAGAAGCGUUCAGCGCCGCGCCAUGCGAAGCAGGAAAUUGCUCUUGAG
rnacentral:ncRNA from 1 species